GUAGCUUUUGUUCUUUCGACAACUUCAUGUUUCCUUAUUGGCUUUUGUUUUCUUUUGGUCCUAGUUCUAACUUCACAUUCCUUAUUAGUUCUCUUCCUUUUCUUCAUACUUCACAGCUCCUUAAGGAUUCAACUCCGAGGUCACUACCAAGUUUCUUCAAUUUUUAAUCUCUUUUGUGCCUCUCUUCUCUUUCAUGUUGCCACCACCAACUUGGAUCUUAGGAAUUUUUUAAGACAAAGGCAUCAAGUAAGAAAGAUAAAGACAAGCUUUGGAUGGCUAGCCCUAACUUUUCAAUCUUGGUUUG
rnacentral:lncRNA from 1 species